AGAGUUUUUAACUCUAGUGGCGGACGGGUGAGUAACACGUGAGAAUUUACCUUUAGGAGGGGGAUAACAAUUGGAAACGAAUGCUAAUACCCCAUAUGCCUCAGAGUGAAAUGGAUUUAUAUUUAUCCGCCUAAAGAGAAGCUCGCGGCUGAUUAGCUUGUUGGUAAGGUAAGAGCUUACCAAGGCGACGAUCAGUAUCUGGUUUGAGAGGACGAUCAGACACACUGGAACUGAGACACGGUCCAGACUCCUACGGGAGGCAGCAGUGGGGAAUUUUCCGCAAUGGGCGAAAGCCUGACGGAGCAAUACCGCGUGAGGGAAGACUGCCUAUGGGUUGUAAACCUCUUUUUUCAGGGAGGAAUAAAAUGACGUGUACCUGAAGAAUAAGCAUCGGCUAACUCCGUGCCAGCAGCCGCGGUAAGACGGAGGAUGCAAGUGUUAUCCGGAAUCACUGGGCGUAAAGCGUCUGUAGGUGGUUUAAUAAGUCAACUGUUAAAUCUUGAGGCUCAACUUCAAAAUCGCA
rnacentral:rRNA from 1 species